rnacentral:rRNA from 1 species
CCUACGGGAGGCUGCAGUGGGGGAUAUUGCACAAUGGGGGGAACCCUGAUGCAGCGACGCCGCGUGGGUGAAGGAGUGCUUCGGCAUGUAAAGCCCUAUCGGCAGGGAAGAAGCAAGACGGUACCUGACUAAGAAGCCUCGGCUAACUACGUGCCAGCAGCCGCGGUAAUACGGAGGGGGCGAGCGUUAUCCGGAUUCACUGGGUGUAAAGGGAGCGUAGACGGCCAUGCAAGCCAGGGGUGAAAGCCCGGGGCCCAACCCCGGGACUGCCCUUGGAACUGUGCGGCUAGAGUGCGGGAGAGGCAGGCGGAAUUCCUGGUGUAGCGGUGAAAUGCGUAGAUAUCAGGAGGAACACCGGCGGCGAAGGCGGCCUGCUGGACUGCGACUGACGUUGAGGCUCGAAAGCGUGGGGAGCGAACAGGAUUAGAUACCCCAGUAGUC